rnacentral:tRNA from 1 species
GGAGGGCUAGCCUAACUGGUAAGGCAGGAGCCUUGAAAGCUCCCGGGCUUCACCGCCCUUGGGGGUUCGAGUCCCUCGCCCUCCGCCA